rnacentral:tRNA from 1 species
GUCGAGGUAGCCGAGUUGGUCCACGGAGCGCGCCAUUAGAAGAGAGGGCGUUGGUUCGAAUCCCACUCUCCGCA